rnacentral:lncRNA from 10 species
GUCCCGUAAAGGGGCAUUUGAGUUUCCUUGUGAUCAGAAUCCAGCCUCAUCUCCCACUAUGCCCCUUGGUCCGACAGUCAUGACCACAGCCAAUGCCUGUGCUUAGCAUGUUAUUUUCAUUACAUCACUAGAAUGUAAACUCCAUGAGGGCAGGGCCUUGUUAUGUUUACAAGUAUGUCCCCAACACCUGUGCCUGGCAGAUAGCAGGUGUGCAGUGUGUUUGUUAAAUCAUUACAACAACCUAUAAGAAUGUAGGUACUAUGAUGAUUUUAUACCUAUUUGACAGAUGAGGAAACUGAGGCUCAGAAGGAUAAAGGAACUCUGAGUUUGUAAGUGGCACAGCCAGGACUUGAACCUGAAUCAGUCUGAUCCCCAGAAGCAAGGCUCUUAGCCACAAUGCCUGCUGCAGUCGGCCAGCUCUGCAUCCCUCCAUAACUCUUCCACACUUUCCAAUCCCAAGUCUUUGUACCUGGCAUCUCCCUUACCUUUUUCCAUCCAGUAACCUUGGUGUUUUCUCCUCAGUGGACCCUUCUUGGCCCUGAGCCACAUUUGUGGCCCUCUCUUUGGUGCUCCUGUAAGUUGGCCCUUGUCCCACUGAGUGGUCAAAACCUAGUAACAUGUCCCUCUCCUCCACCUCUGUAUUCCCAGGGCUUGGCAAAUAGUAAGCACCCAAUAACUCUGUUAAAUACAUUUGCCUUGAAUAUAUUCUACCUGAUAUCUCAGCUCAAGGGAAGUUUGUGAAUUUCAAGGGAAGUGUGUUAAUCAGUAUCACAUAACCAAUUUAGUGGUUUUCAA